rnacentral:lncRNA from 1 species
GCCUCCUCCCUGUGUCUAGCUAAUAACAUCAGAAGAUCAUCUAAUACAUCGCUCUCAGCCACCACAUUGGAUGACUCUGAUCUGGAACCUUCUCUCUUUUCUCUCUUCCUCCGAGGACAAUAUCUCUUCAUGUGCCCUAGCUACUGGCACAUGUAGCACCUAACCUUUCUGAUACUCCUUGGGGAUGUCUGCCUCCCCGCCAUCUCACAUCUAUCCUUUCUCCUCC